GGAUCCAAAAGCCUCUGGUACAUGUUAGUGCACACUCUUCUUUGCUUGCUUGUGCUUCUCGCUUUACUUUCUCUACUCCCAACGUUCAUCUCAAUCCAUGCCAUUACGAAACAUGUCUAUCAACUCAAAACUAUUCAUGCCAUUUUAGUUUUUUGAUUUUCCAUUUGGUUUCUGCCUCUGAUCCGUCAAAUCAAUAGAAAUUUGUAACUGGGUGUUUUGGGUUUGGACAGGGUGGCCGAUUUUCUCCAGGAAA
rnacentral:misc_RNA from 1 species